CACAGUUGUGUCAUCUGCGAACUUCAGUAGCUUAACAGAUGGAUCGUUGGAGAUGCAGUCAUUGGUAUACAGAGAGAAGAGAAGUGGGGAGAGCACACAGCCUUGGGGGGGGGGCUGUGCUAAUUGUACAGAUCACUCAUGCAACAUCUUGCAACAAAAUGGAGACCCAUACAACUUUAUCCAAAAUUGCCUGACCAUUCAAUCCAGCACAACUAACUCAAGUCGAGUAAAGGAUAACACUGCCAUACAUCAAAACCAUCUCAGAAAUCACUCAAGAUCUGGCCUGAGGUUUCCAGGGAACUAGAGAUGUGCUCAGCUGGCUCCACUGAUCAGAAGGCCAUUCUUAUAUCCCUUCACCUAGGAUAAAGAAGAAAAAUAUUUGAUAGAGAUCGGGUGAGCAGAAGACAUAUUUGUACAGGAAGGAGAGAACAAAAAAAGAAAUGAAACAAAAGCAGGAUGGAAAUUUGGCAAACAGGAGGUGAUUUGACAGAUAAGGAAGGGAAAGGGAGUCUUUAUAUUCCUUUCCCUUAUAUAUAAAAGAUGAGUAUCUACAAUGAAGCAGAAGAGAGAAGAAGCUAUUUCCAUUCUUGUUGCCUCAUCAAUGUCUCCUCUACAGUUCUAUAAGUUUCACCGGCCAGAUGAAUAAACAGUUUUUUGACAGUCACUCUCAUCACUGGCUAUCUCGAAACAUUGGGAGUAAGAAACAAAGAAGGUCAUUGACCCACCCCUUAUCUUCAAUCCACAGAAGAGGAAAAUAACAUAAAUUGUCAAUCCCAUCAACAAAUUAGUUGAGCCUAUGGGUUAUUGUCAGUUCAUUAUGGUUGGGUUUUCGUUACUUGCCCUUAUUUGCUUUUUUGUUUGUUUUGUUUACAUAUCUCACUUUUAUAUUUCUUACUUUUUAUAAUACUGAUAUAUUAACUGCCCAAAAUCACUUCAUGUCUAUAGCCAAGUAAAUUGAAUAAAACAAUAUAAACCCAUUCAUAUCAUAUCCCUUGUUGUGCAUAUUUGAGUUCAAGAAAAAAAAAGCUGAGCAAUUUGAGUUGCAAAGCUGGCAUCCUUUCCUAUGAAGAAUCUUCAUAAGACAGCCAAAGUCAAGGAACCAGUACAAAUUGCACUGGGUUCCAAUUACUUUCUGGGUACAAUUCAAAGUGCUGUGUUAUCACCUACAUAACACAAUAAUAAUAAUAAUAAUAUUUUUAUUUAUAGACCGCCCUUCUCCCAAAGGACUCAGGGCGGUGUACGGCCACAAAUAAAAUACAGAAAGAAAACAACAAUACAAAACUAAAACAACCCUUAAAAAACCUAUUUAAUAUGGCUACUUAUUACCCUCUAAAAUUUACAAAAUUUUAAAACCCAUAAAUCAAUUUGUAAAUCAUUGUAAGCCGCCCUGAGUCUUCGGAGAAG